rnacentral:rRNA from 1 species
UACGUAGGGUGCGAGCGUUAAUCGGAAUUACUGGGCGUAAAGCGUGCGCAGGCGGUUUUGUAAGUCGGGUGUGAAAUCCCCGGGCUUAACCUGGGAACUGCAUUCGUGACUGCAAGGCUAGAGUAUGGCAGAGGGGGGUAGAAUUCCUGGUGUAGCAGUGAAAUGCGCAGAUAUCAGGAGGAAUACCGAUGGCGAAGGCAGGUCUCUGGGCUGACACUGACGCUCAUGCACGAAAGCGUGGGGAGCAAACAGG